AUAUUCAAAAAAGAUUUUUACAAAACUAUUUUUCAAUAACCAUUAUAAAAAAAUGUGUCAAUAUAUAUAAGAAAAAUACAAUACAAAACCCAAUUUGAAAUACUAACUCAAAUUAUGGUUUUUAUAUUUCAUAUUAAGUUUUAAAAAUAUAAUCUUAAUUAUUAAAACUCAAGUACAAAAUUGGAGGGUUUGGAGACUUGAAUAGGACUAUUAAAAAAUUUGGAGUGUUUGGAAACAUGGAUUGUAAUCUUUAAAAAAAAAAAAAAUUUUGUAAAACAAGGAUAUUAGUAUUAACAAAAACAGUAAUGGGCUUAUGUUAUUAAGAAAAAUUGAAAGUCCAUCAUAUUAUAAAAAACUAUCUAUCUGGGCG
rnacentral:lncRNA from 1 species